rnacentral:misc_RNA from 1 species
GAUGAAGAACGCAGCAAAAUGCGAUAAGUAAUGUGAAUUGCAGAAUUCAGUGAAUCAUCGAAUCUUUGAACGCACAUUGCGCCCGCCAGUAUUCUGGCGGGCAUGCCUGUUCGAGCGUCAUUUCAACCCUCAAGCCCCCGGGUUUGGUGUUGGGGAUCGGCGAGCCUUUCUGGCAAGCCGGCCCCGAAAUCUAGUGGCGGUCUCGCUGCAGCCUCCAUUGCGUAGUAGUAAAACCCUCGCAACUGGAACGCGGCGCGGCCAAGCCGUUAAACCCCCAACUUCUGAAUGUUGACCUCGGAUCAGGUAGGAAUACCCGCUGAACUUAAGCAUAUCAAUAAGCGGAGGA